AAAAUUUCUCUCUCUUCUAAAAUGUUUCUCUCUCUCUCUAUCUCUUUCUCUCUCUGGAAAUACAGAGGCAUUUCUUCUCCAAAAUAGAAUCUGUAUCUUCCUCUUCUUCACACCCACCCCCGACGCCGCCUUCCCCUAACUCACCUACGCUGGUUUGACACAACCAUCACCUCCGUUCCAUCUUUGCAGUGUAUCGCACCACCACGACGCCCUCCCCCGAUUCACCAACGCUGAUCCAACGCAACCAUCACCAGUGUCCCACGUUGCUGCCUUCCUCUUCCCGUCCCACCGUCGGUGUCGUCUCACUGGUAAGGAAAGCUCCAACCACCGUCGGUGUCGUCUUGCUGGGAAUGCGGCGAGGGAUAACAAGAGGAACCAAAUAGUUCCAAGCACAAUCAGUUUGCUUUGAGGAAUGAUGGGGAGUCGGUAACAUUUGUGAAUGAUGUAGUUUUGCCUAACAAUAAUCAAGUUCUCUUAUCGAAGAAUUCUGGGAAAGGAAAGAACCAGAUCGGAUAUGUUUUGCAGGAGUUGUAGGGUUUUUAGGAGUAGUGAUUUCCUCUCCGUGUUUUGGAAAUGAUUAUGUUGGUUCCUUUUCGGCUUGUUUCGAUGGAUCUUUUUUUUUUUUUUUUUUUCAAUAGCUUGUUAUGGACAUAUGGCCUUUAUAGCUUGUUAUGGAAAUAGCUUGAUGAAUCCUUGUCUCAACAACUUGGUCAUAUAUGGAAAAUCAGUUGUUUCAAA